AGUGAACGCUGGCGGCGUGCCUAAUACAUGCAAGUCGAACGGCGUGGCGCACGGGUGAGUAAUAUAUAGCUAAUCUGCCCUUUGCUGGAGGACAACAGUUAGAAAUGACUGCUAAUACUCCAUAGGAAGGGAUGGGACUAUAUCGUAUCAGCUAGUCGGUGUGGUAACGGCCUACCGAGGCGAUGACGCGUAACUGGUGUGCGAGGAUAAGCAGUCACAUUGGAGCGGAGACACGGGCCAGACACCUACGGGAAGCAGCAGAAGGGAAUAGUGCGCAGUGGGGGAAAGCCUGACAGAGCAACGGCUCGUGGAGGAUGAUACGUUGCGAAGCAUAAACUCCUUUUUUUAGGGAAGCGGUACCUAACGAAUAAGCACCGGCUAACUACGUGCCAGCAGCCGCGGUAAUAC
rnacentral:rRNA from 1 species